AAUCAACGCUGGCGGCGUGCCUAACACAUGCAAGUCGAACGCGAAAGCCCCGCAAGGGUAAGGUAGAGUGGCGCACGGGUGAGUAACACGUGGAUAACCUGCCUUUGUAGUGGGGAAGUAACCUUCCGAAAGGAGGGCUAAUACCGCAUAACACCUUUAGUACAAAAGUACAAAGGGUUAAAAGGAAGCAAUUCGCUCAAAGAGGGGUCCGCGCCUGAUUAGCUAGUUGGUGAGGUAACGGCUCACCAAGGCUCGUAUCAGUAGCCGUCCUGAGAGGGAGCACGGCCACACUGGAACUG
rnacentral:rRNA from 1 species